rnacentral:rRNA from 1 species
GACGUAGGGCGCGAGCGUUGUCCGGAUUGAUUGGGCGUAAAGAGCUCGUAGGCGGCUCGUUGCGUCGGCUGUGAAAACCCGCAGCUCAACUGUGGGCCUGCAGCCGAUACGGGCGGGCUAGAGUUCGGUAGGGGAGACUGGAAUUCCUGGUGUAGCGGUGAAAUGCGCAGAUAUCAGGAGGAACACCGGUGGCGAAGGCGGGUCUCUGGGCCGAUACUGACGCUGAGGAGCGAAAGCGUGGGGAGCGAACAGG